rnacentral:rRNA from 1 species
UACGGGGGGGGCAAGCGUUGUUCGGAAUUACUGGGCGUAAAGGGCUCGUAGGUGGCCAACUACGUCAUACGUGAAAUCCCUCGGCUUAACCGGGGAACUGCGUCUGAUACUGGAUGGCUUGAGGUUGGGAGAGGGAUGCGGAAUUCCAGGUGUAGCGGUGAAAUGCGUAGAUAUCUGGAGGAACACCGGUGGCGAAGGCGGCAUCCUGGACCAAUUCUGACACUGAGGAGCGAAAGCCAGGGGAGCAAGCGGG